UCUGCCUCUCAUUGCCAGGAAAAUAUUUUCCUCCUUUUCAGCAGGAAAAAAAGAGGAGUAUUAGCUGAGUUGCUGGGAGAGAAGAACAAGUGAACAUUCCCUCUGCCAAUGCAGGCUCCUUCCCCCGGGCUGGCCAUUGGGCCCCUCUCGGGCAAGACUUGAUUCUAUUUUUCUCUGAAGUUCUCUCAUUUGACAAGUGAAAAGAGCCUUCCCAGCUACACCACAGUGCUCAGAGAAUGAAAGAAGGAAAGAAGGAGCCCGCGAAUGAGGCAUCGGAUGAUGGGUGGACUUUACCUCAUCAACUUUACCUCCCAUGAGGUUUCCUCCUGUGUGUUUGCCUCAGUUUCCUCACUGGAAGAACCGACAAGAAAAAUGCUUGCUCCUGCCUGGGAAUCUGCCACCAGGUUCCAGAUGCUACCAUGAUGCCAACCUGACUUCCCUGGGCAGAUGACUCCGCCAAUGUGUCCUGGAGCCCCGCUUCCCCAAACUCCCCCCCUACUAGGGAAAGAGAGAGAUAUGCUGGGAGUAUGGAUCGACCUGUCAACGCCCAUGUUCAGCGGGGAAGCAAUUACAGAAGCCAGACCUUCCAUCCUCUGCAUCCCACAAUGACCUUGGGUCCAUACUCCCAGAGGGAUAAAGAAUAGGAAAGCUAUCAGGGGAGGGGAUGGGAUACAGAGUUCCGGUGGUAGGAAUUGUGUGAAGUACCCCUCUUAUCCUAUGGUCUUGUCUAUAUUUCCAUUUUAUAAAUAAAAUUUUCUU